CCUACGGUAGGCAGCAGUGGGGAAUAUUGGACAAUGGGGGGAACCCUGAUCCAGCGACGCCGCGUGAGUGAAGAAGUAUUUCGGUAUGUACAGCUCUAUCAGCAGGGAAGAAAGAAAUGACGGUACCUGACUAAGAAGCCCCGGCUAACUACGUGCCAGCAGCCGCGGUAAUACGUAGGGGGCAAGCGUUAUCCGGAUUUACUGGGUGUAAAGGGAGCGUAGACGGCGAUGCAAGUCUGAAGUGAAAGGCGGGGGCCCAACCCCCGGACUGCUUUGGAAACUGUAUGGCUGGAGUGCAGGAGAGGUAAGUGGAAUGCCUAGUGUAGCGGUGAAAUGCGUAGAUAUUAGGAGGAACACCAGUGGCGAAGGCGGCUUACUGGACUGUAACUGACGUUGAGGCUCGAAAGCGUGGGGAGCAAACAGGAUUAGAUACCCGAGUAGUC
rnacentral:rRNA from 1 species